rnacentral:rRNA from 1 species
AACGAACGCUGGCGGCAUGCCUAACACAUGCAAGUCGAACGAGACCUUCGGGUCUAGUGGCGCACGGGUGCGUAACGCGUGGGAACCUGCCCUUAGGUUCGGAAUAACUCCCCGAAAGGGGUGCUAAUACCGGAUAAUGUCUUCGGACCAAAGAUUUAUCGCCUUUGGAUGGGCCCGCGUUGGAUUAGCUAGUUGGUAGGGCAAAAGCCUACCAAGGCGACGAUCCAUAGCUGGUCUGAGAGGAUGAUCAGCCACACUGGGACUGAGACACGGCCCAGACUCCUACGGGAGGCAGCAGUGGGGAAUAUUGGACAAUGGGCGAAAGCCUGAUCCAGCAAUGCCGCGUGAGUGAUGAAGGCCUUAGGGUUGUAAAGCUCUUUUACCCGGGAUGAUAAUGACAGUACCGGGAGAAUAAGCGCCGGCUAACUCCGUG